ACACUGUGCAAUGCGCGAAAGCGCGACACGGGGAGCUUGAGUGUCUUGGCAUAGCCAAGACUUUUCUCAUUCCUAAAAAGCAUGAGGAAUAAGUGCUGGGUAAGACGGGUGCCAGCCGCCGCGGUAACACCCGCAGCACGAGUAGUGGUCACUUUUAUUGAGCCUAAAGCGUUCGUAGCCGGUUUUGUAAAUCUUCAGAUAAAGCCUGAAGCUUAACUCCAGAAAGUCUGAAGAGACUGCAAGACUUGAGAUCGGGUGAGGUUAAACGUACUUUCAGGGUAGGGGUAAAAUCCUGUAAUCCCGGAAGGACGACCAGUGGCGAAAGCGUUUAACUAGAACGAAUCUGACGGUAAGGAACGAAGGCUAGGGUAGCAAACCGGAUUAGAUACCCGGGUAGUCCUAGCUGUAAACAUUGCCCAUUUGAUGUUGCUUUUCCGUUGAGGGAAGGCAGUGUCGGAGCGANNGUGUUAA
rnacentral:rRNA from 1 species